rnacentral:lncRNA from 1 species
UUAAGCUUUGCCAAACAUGCUAUCUAUCCUUGUUAAAGUAUUAUGUUACAUUGUUGCUAUACACAUAUUAAAUAUUACUAAUUAAUACCGAUAAUGAACAAAAGACAUUGAGGUUGAUUGAUUUUUUCGUCUUUUCAGGAGACAUGGCGUCUGCUCAUGUAGUGUACAAGGGUCCAAGUAUUCUGAAGGAGAUCCUUAUUGGGAUAAGUCUGGGCAUCACGGCUGGAGGCCUUUGGAAAAUGCACCACUGGAACAAUCGGAGAAGAACCAAGGAAUUCUACGACCUGCUCGAGAAAGGUGAAAUUAGUGUCGUUGUGGAAGAUGAGUAAUCUUCAUUUGUUGUGAAUCUUUGGUUAUAUUGGUGUAAAUGCGCAUGGAUUAUCUGCAGUCUAGGCAUCUUUGUUGGUAGAAACUCGAACAUAGGAUCUUUCAGUGGAUGGUUAACGCAUACUUUAGGAGGAUCUAAAUCAUGAAAUGAAAUGUCUGUUCAAAUAAUACUCUUUCACUAGUCUCAUGUAUCAAUGAAUGACUUUUUGUAUAUUAUGUGCGAAGUUAUGCUGUGUUCGGAAUUAUGCACUUCAUAGUUUCAAUUCUAUGCAUAAAUGAGCACUCGACGUUUGUUUUCUUAACCUUCAAUUUCUGUGGCGUGUGGAUCUUCAAUUUUUUUCGAUUUUGAACUUUGAACUUGGAUUUUGUAUUUUGUUUGAGCAUCUCUAAUUUUGUACGAAU